UCAAYAAGCGGAGGAAAAGAAACUAACAAGGAUUCCCCUAGUAACUGCGAGUGAAGAGGGAAGAGCUCAAAUUUAAAAUCUGGCAGUGUUUCACUGUCCGAGUUGUAAUCUAGAGAAGUGCUGCCCGUGCUGGACCAUGUACAAGUCUCCUGGAAUGGAGCGUCACAGAGGGUGAGAAUCCCGUCUUUGACAUGGACUGCCAGUGCAUUUGUGGUGUGCUCUCAAAGAGUCGAGUUGUUUGGGAAUGCAGCUCUAAAUGGGUGGUAAACUCCAUCUAAAGCUAAAUAUUGGCGAGAGACCGAUAGCGAACAAGUACCGUGAGGGAAAGAUGAAAAGAACUUUGGAAAGAGAGUUAAACAGUAUGUGAAAUUGUUGAAAGGGAAACGCUUAAAGUCAGUCAUGUCGGCCAGGGAUCAACCCAGUCAUUUUGCUGGGUGUACUUCCUGAUCUGAUGGGCCAACAUCAGUUUUGACUGCUGGAAAAGGGCAGAGGGAAUGUGGCACUUUCGGGUGUGUUAUAGCUCUCUGUCAGAUACAGUGGUUGGGACUGAGGAAAGCAGCAUGCCGCAAGGCCAGGUUUUAACCAUGUUCAUGCUGAGGAUGUUGG
rnacentral:rRNA from 1 species